rnacentral:rRNA from 1 species
UACGUAGGGUGCGAGCGUUGUCCGGAAUUAUUGGGCGUAAAGAGCUCGUAGGCGGUGUGUCACGUCGGCCGUGAAAACCUGCAGCUUAACUGUGGGCGUGCGGUCGAUACGGGCAUCACUGGAGUUCGGCAGGGGAGACUGGAAUUCCUGGUGUAGCGGUGAAAUGCGCAGAUAUCAGGAGGAACACCGGUGGCGAAGGCGGGUCUCUGGGCCGAUACUGACGCUGGGGAGCGAAAGCGUGGGGAGCGAACAGG